GUGGGCCGGGCAGGUGGGCGGGGGCGGCUGCUGCCCCCGUGAGGCUUCGGUGCUGUCUUCGCGCCCUCACCCUCUGUGUUGCUGCCGGCGGGGCGAGGUGCGGUGGACAACGCUGAGGGAGCGUGGGUGGGCCUGGCCUCUGGGAGUCACUGAGGGGUCCGCGCAGGUCUCGGUACAGAGAACACCCGCUCGCUCCACGCGAGUUCUGUACGGGUGCGAGCCCUGACAGGGCUGCGGGCCGCGGUGGCGCAGCCUCCGUCCGAAUGGGCCCUGGGGGUGUCUGAAGCUUCUGGAACGAGCUUGAAGUGGAAGAUGAGAACUACAACGGUGGCCGUUUUUAUCGAUAAUAAAUAAUUGUUUUGUACCCUUUAAAAAGGGCUUCCCGGUGUAUGGGCAAGACACCCUUUCUCCCGUCUGUCUUUGGGACUGCAUUCCUGCAACAGGUGUUGAGCUGAUGGACAAAUCUGGUUUCCCACCAGAAACUCAGGAAAAAUAGUUACAGAAAUUCUUGUUUGCGUGGUGGUCUGCCCAGUGAAAUGGAGGAGUUGGAUUACUCCAUACCUCAGUUACUUACAGCUUGCAUUCUUUUACCUCUUUGUGCAGUUCAGCAUCAAGAGUUUCAGGUAUCUCCAUUUUAUAUUGUGCCAGUGUCCUGUCCAGGACCUCACCAUGUAAAACAUCACAUAAUAAAUGCUAGGAAUCAAAAGGUCAAACACAUACUUCAGAUAUAUUAUAGAGAAAUUAAUACGGGCUACUAGUUGCCUGGUUAUUAAAAGUAUGUAGAUUUUAAGGCAAUAUUUGAAGAACAGUGCGAUUGCUUGUGGAAGACUUUUAUACAAAUUAGGAAAUCUAUAGAAAGAACACAAAAUGCUUUUUUGGAAAGUGUCAUUAAGAGUUUGAUACUGUUAAAAAUUACUAGUUUGGCUGUGUGUCCUUUUGAUCUGCCUGUGUAAUUAAGCAUUGAGACAUACAUGGAGUACACUUUACUGGCAAAGGAGUGAUUUUGGUGGCAUCUUUUAUUUAUGAGUCUGUAGUGUAUUUAACUGACCAGUCUUUCUGUAGUUAUUAGUGGCAUGAGGCAAGGUUGACUGCUUCCAAAAACAAAACAUGGAAUUAAAAUUGAGAGAAAUUACCAUAUAUUUAAAAACCUGAGAACGUGAUUCCCCAGAAAUGUAAGAGAAGUUAAAAACAAGGAGACAUAGUGAGAGCUGAAACUCACGACUUAUAUUACAAAUACAAUACAGAAUUUUCAAAGAGCCUACUCUCUUUUGCUCUCUUCAGCAUUUUAGACUGACAGGUGGUAUGGAAAAUUAGUUUAUAUAGUAGCCUCUUACACAAGGCUGCAGAAAUUCUUCCAAAUAUAGCAUUUCCUCUGAUAGCAUUCCUCUGCAUUGUUAUGUCCUGUUCAGUGGAAAGGUGAGCUUUAAAUGUGACGUUCUCAGGGAACUGAGAAGUCCAGGCAUCUUCCCCAAACACCAGAUCGACCCAGAUGCCGCUGGAAGAUAACAAUAAGCAAUCUAGAAAAAAAUCAGGAGGAAGAAUUUUGAUGACAAUUACCAUGUUGUUUAUUCUUUAAAUGAAUUUUCAUUAAAGGUAUGAGUUUCAAGACCACAGGUUUUUUCACAGAUUUACAUUAUUUUCCCCAUAAGAAAAUCCACUUACUUUAUUUGAAAAUGGAUUGUUUCAACUUGAGGCCACACUAAGAGCCAAGUGCUUUGUGCUGAUACAUUCACAGAAAUUAGUAGAGCGUGAUGUAGGCAAAAUCUUCCACAUGAAUGCUUUUGGCCUUACUGAUCUAGAGCUUUUCUGUUAUAGAGCAUUAAGUGUGUUUAUGUUUCUUUUUUUUUAAUCCACAAGUUUGUUCUCAUUCCUUAGUGUAAAGUGUGGAUAUUACAAGUGUUUUCUGUGACUUCACACCACUUCAGUUCACGUUUAUACCCUGAUUUGAUACUUUUAAUUGAACAGGGCUGUGAAAAUAUAACAUAUCAAUUUAUUUGUAUUUGUUUUAUUAAGGGUUUUUGGACUAUGCCACUUCUGCUAUGAAUGUAAGAGAGUGUUAAAAAACAACAACAAAAAAUAUACCAGCCAAUCUGUGAAGAGUUAUGUAUAUGCAAUGGGGAAAUACAAGAAAACAUGACACGAAAAGGAGCUUUCAGCAUGAGCAUCAAGAAGGAGGAUGUACACUUAAAACAUGUUCCUGAAGAACACACAAAAAGUAUUUGGAGCACUCUUCUGACAUGGAAUCUUCAAAAAUGGCAAACCCCAUCUCAAACUACAAAAGGAGAACUGCUCAUCCACAAAUGAAACUACAGGCUACAUAGAAAGUCACAAGGACCUCUGGAUAUUGUCUCUCUGCAGGUUGACCCACUGAACUGCAGUCCGACACUAGAGGGACAAGGAGCUGAGUCAAGUAAGAACACGAAUCCAAAUGAGAGAAGGAAACAUCUGUGAUGAAACUGCUGGGCUCAGACUGUUUGCAGAGGGCAACUUGUUCAGAUUUGGUGACAGAAUGGAGCUCUUGCUUAUACAUCAGCUCUCUUGGGUGUUGUUUCAGCAUAUGAGUGCCAGCCCACCUCUUCUGUGAAUUAGACUGGCUCACAUCAGGAUGGAUCCGAUGUGCAGAGAAACCAAGCCCUAGGAGUGCGUCGUCCUAUAGAUGUUUUAUCAACCCUGGGGAGCUCGUCUGGUAGCUGCAGAGCAGUCUCUGAGCCACACCACAACAGGAGGUCCAGGACACAGCUGGGUGGAGGUGAGUUAGACCACAACAUGUAAAUGUGGCUACAGGUUCACUCAUAUGGUUUUCCAUUCUUCGUAUUCCUCCUCUCUGAGAGAGGGCCCUGCUCAGGGCACCUUGGUCCUCCUCUUCAACACUGCCAUCUCCAGAGGGGAAAGAAAGGAUUUUGUUUCAGGUGUAAAAUGAAACUCCAAUGGUCUCCACUUGACAGAUAUGAUUCCAAGUUAAAGAUGAUCCAACCCUUCUUGUCCAGACCUCCCCAGGCUUGCUUUCUGCAGCUGUGGGGUGAUACAGUCCUCACUAAUGCAGGCUGAGCCUCCUCCCUUCUUCCACCCUUUCUGAGCAGAGAUCCUCAGACAUGCCAUACUGUGCCAAAUCCUUUACAGUGGUUUUGUGAUGUGAGCUAGUAUCUGCUGGAGAUGCCGAGCUGAGAUGUGAACUCCUUUCACAGAGGGCUCGACCUGAAUUCCCUGAAGUGAGAGUCUAGUCCUCUUACUCACUGAACUCCCUCUUUUUGUACUUAAUCAAAUCCUAAAUCCUCUGAAGUGAAAAAAUGCACAUUUUGUUUUCAAUGACUUGCUGCAGCUGAAUGCUUCUCACAACCAGCAAGGCCUAUGAAACUAGUAUUUAUUAAGGAUGAGUGAUUUCUCACACUUAUUCUGUUUCUAUCCAAGACUGCCAACUUGGUCCACCUGGGUUUCAGAACUGAGAUAUCACAUUUCCCACGUCUCAUGCUUCCUCUAUACUUGCCCUGCAUUAUUUAUUAUGGCACUGAGUGCUCCCGGGGUUGGCUGUCAGGCAGGGUCAGGCUCCUUUGGGCUCACCUCUACUGCUGCAGGUUUGGGAGGCUGCUGCACCAGCCAGUGUGUUGAGCAGGCUGGUCCUGCAGUUGGUGCUGCGAAUGGGAGCUUAAAAGCCACUCAGUGGAGAAACUCGGAGGAAACUGGGAGUCAAAGCAGCAGGGAGGACCUGGAGCUCAUGACUCCUCAGGAAGAUAAGAGGGAGUUUAAUUGAUGUGUCCCUUAGAGCUGUUUUGGCUAUCAGUUCUUUCAGGACAGGCGAGGGUGCAAUAUCCCUGCUGGCAGUAACACCCUUAAUGACUGAGUUGAUCAAAUCAGUGUGAUCCAUUUGGGCCUUUCUUGCCAGGCUGGGAACUCUGCUUGUAAAAGGGUUUCAGUAACUUUUCACUGAGCUUCCCAGACUAGCUCAGAGGGGGAAAAACGUGCUAUUUAGGACUAAAUAUUGUCACCAUCUCGAAACUGCUUAUUGGAUGGCCCCCUCCAAAUCAUUCCAGAUCAAAUAUGUAUGUGGUAAACUAAAGCACGGAUUUGGAAAUGAGUUGUACCACCUUUUUUUGUCAGUGAAAUAAGAGCUGUAGUGGCAAGGCCUGCACUGACACUUGGUUUUCCCUGCACCUGUGAUAUUUCUGUAACUUGGGAGGGACAGUGGUGGAUUGCAAUAGAAGAAAAAGGUAAACAGACAUUUAUGACUUGGGAAAAUAAGCUCUAGAAAAGAUUACACAGAGUUGUUAACUUUCACAGUGUUUAUUUCAGAAUAAUUCUAAGAGAUAUGCAGUGUAGCCCGAAUCUCCCUGGGAUGGUGAGGGAUGGUGAGGGAUGGUGAGCUGCUCCAUGAAAGCCGCUGUGUGACUGAGAUCUUAAAUUACUGCUAGCAAGAAAAGAAGAUGGGGACAUGUGGUUCAUCCUUGGACUGCAGAAGAGGGGCAGACACAUCCCAGAUCUUGUAAGGCAAUUUUCAUAUUUUAAAAUUCUGGGUCACUUCUUUAAUUAAAAAGUUAUGCUUUUAAGAAUGUUUCUAGUCAAAUACACUGCAGCACUGGGAGCUGGAGUAUUUUUUGUCUGAUGCCUGUACCAUCUAUCAAACAGCGCUUCAUGAAAACAGCUGGAUCUCGUGUUUGCGUCUUCAUAGCUGAACUGAACGUUUAGACUGUCUUUUUCCAUCAAAUGUGUGAUUUAACAGUGCAGCAGUGGAUGAAUCUAGGACAGUCUCUGAAUUGCAGAUUUCUGUACUAGCCGUCUGCAAAGUAGGAAGAAAAGGAAAUGACAGGCUGCUGGCAGAAAAAUGCAAUGAUACUACAAUAAGCAUACACCACAGUUCUUUUGAUGGACAGCAGUGCCUGCUCCCAUAGAAAAGGGCUGUGAUUCAUGUGGAUUAGUUCCUUGCGAUAUGUGCAUAGAAAUCCAAAUAUUCUCUUCCCAAACACGUAGCUUGCUCUUCUGUUUUCUUCUGGUCACUCACUAAUAUUAGAAAUGACAAACUGUGAAACUGAAGUAGCAGGAGAGGCAUGGUAUGUUUGCAAAAAUUUUAAGCCUGCGUGGGUCCAUCCUGCAGUCUUUCCUCCUGCAAAGCUUCCCGUAGCCCUGUGUGUGUCUGUGUGCGUCUGUGCGUGUUUGUGUGCAUCUCUGUGUGUUUGUGUGCGUGCCCAUGCACGUGGGCUCCUGGUUGGAACAAAUGGCUCUGUCCCUUUUCUUUGGGAUCUGUCAGAAUGGGAGUCUGUGCAAUGUUCAGCUCUGCGCUUGACUGAAAGCUUGAGAAGUUAAAAGCUUUUAGAAGAGUCUCAAAAAAACAACAACAUACACACAUAACUGAAAACACAUGAGAGAUGAGGAAAAGAGAAAUAAUGCAGCAUGCAGUAACAUUUGGAAGCUUUCUCUCUUUUUACCAGUAUCAGAGAAGCUCAGCAAGAAAGGGACCCCUGUAAUCCACAGGGCCUCUGUCAGAAACACAGCAACAGCUGAACAGUGCAUGAGAGCUGAGGCUUCAGGGAAAACCUCCAUGAAAAAUAAAAGGAAUGGAAAUAAAAAGAAAGAAAAAAGAACACUGUAUUUUUUUAAAGCUCUGUACAGAUGCGAUGACACUUUGAUGAGUCCUUCUUCUCUUCUUGCUUUCAUGCAAAUUGAUAGCCUGCUCUUGGGAAAGGUCUACAGUGCUUGUGAGCAUCUUAUUGUCUGCUUGAAGUUACAAGCUGAGUGAAAAAGCUAAGAAAAGCAGCAUUGUGGAAAAGGGAAAAGGUGUUUGGCGAUGUCAGGAGUUACAUGUUGCUGGUGGCACACGCACUCAGAAGUAAGUACCACAGGCAGGUUCACACUGUUCAGCAAAGUUGCAGUGGAACCAGUGUAGUGCCAGCGCCAGGCACUCACAAGACACUAAGUUUUGCCUCCCAGAGUCAUGAGACCAUUAUAAUACUGUGUGACUGUUUCAGGCUUUGCUUUCUGUUUUUUUAACUGCUGUGGGUUGUGUUCUCAUGGUUUGCCCUGCAACCACAGGGAUGCUUGUAUUUUUUACGUGAAAGCUGUUCCUUCAGCUUCUUCAAGAAGAAAAUUGAGAGUGUGGCCUUUUAGAAAACGAUCAAAUGUGACAAGUGUUGCAGUAAAGUCACAAGCACUAAAACCAUUUUUCUUAAGAUGAUUUGGCUUCUUAUGGAUAAGAAGACUCUUUUACACUUGAGUUUUACCUCCUCUCUAAGGCCUUGCAUAUACAAACCUUUCAUUCCUCUGUCGUAUUAGCUCUGCUCUGACCCCAGAGAGGACAGCCAGACUAGCCAGGCAUGGUGUAGCUAGGGUUGCCUUUGUUGCCUUACUGCCUGUCAAUAUGGGAACAGAUUCGCUGCAGCUUUAAUGGGGAUGAACAUCUGAGCUGAAGCUGUGGUAGUGGGUGAGCAGUCACAGCACAAAACCACGCACAGGCACUGGUAUCCUGCGAGGGCUUCUGAGGACUUGUUCCCUGAAAUUUAUGAGUGUGGUGAACUGAAGUGCUCUGUGACCCUUUCCUAGCCUGCUGUGAAAGGAUUGAUCUUUCCUUCUUAUCACAGGGACCUGCAGAAGAUGUUGGAGGGCUACUGGCCACAUGGAAUGGUUUUGUGUUCACAAUCACUGCACAGUGAGGGAAUUAAGAGCCCCCUCACUGAAGGUUUCACUCAGGAGUUCACACCCUAAGCCAGGCUGGGAAGGCUGGACUGAACUAAGUGUAACACACUACUAGCUUUCUUGGCAGGGGAGCACACCAAAUUAGAGAGCUUGGGUUAAUUCUGCAGCUAAGAUAUGUGCUGGUGACUAUAUUUUACGCUUUAUUUAUACAGCUUUUCUUUUGGGAGAUUAUAAGCUGCAGAAUGAUGGAAAAUUUAGAGGGAAAAACUUUGGUUGAUCAGACUUGAAAAAGUACUUUGAACCUGGCUGUGCAACAAAGUACCUUCAUCUCUGUGUUUUGGUCCAGAGCAUGCUGGGUCUGAAGGUUUAUUGUCCUGAAACAAAUACAGUUAUUUAUACCUUUAACAAGUAAGUGAAGGAGGCUUUCAUGUGGUAGAAUUUCACACCCACAGGUGUAACAGGUGUAAGUGACUGUAUAAGAUGCAGGACAAGAGAAAACCAUGCUAGUUGUUAUUAGGGUCAAGCCACGACCUUUGUCAACACUUUGACUCAUUCUGCCCUUAAUUGCUAGGAGUGUACAAUUAAGCCCUCGGUGGAAACUCAGCUUAUAUUAGCAGAAGAGCUCCUUUACAAAACAGCCUUUUUAUAGGAGUUCUGUCUUACACAUACAACAGUAAGAAAGAGUUUGGUCUGGGGACCUGAUUGAUGACCCAACCCGAUCAAUUAAAAUCAUUUGCUGUCAGGCCAUGAAUGAAUCUGCUACUGGGUUUCUCCUAGAAGCACUCUAGGGGUUGU